UACGUAGGGUGCAAGCGUUAAUCGGAAUUACUGGGCGUAAAGCGCACGUAGGCGGAUACUUAAGUCAGGGGUGAAAUCCCGGGGCUCAACCCCGGAACUGCCUUUGAUACUGGGUAUCUCGAGUCCGGAAGAGGUGAGUGGAAUUCCGAGUGUAGAGGUGAAAUUCGUAGAUAUUCGCAAGAACACCAGUGGCGAAGGCGGCUCACUGGCCCGGAACUGACGCUGAGACGCGAAAGCGUGGGGAGCAAACAGG
rnacentral:rRNA from 1 species